rnacentral:tRNA from 1 species
GGUGGCUCAGUGGUAGAGUGCUUGCCUCAUAUGCAUGAGGCCCUAGGUUUGAUUCCUUAGCACCA